UACAGAGGUGGCAAGCGUUGUUCGGAAUUACUGGGCGUAAAGGGCGCGUAGGCGGCCUUCUAAGUCAGACGUGAAAUCCCCAGGCUUAACUUGGGAACUGCGUCUGAUACUGGGAGGCUUGAGUGCGGGAGAGGGAUGUGGAAUUCCAGGUGUAGCGGUGAAAUGCGUAGAUAUCUGGAGGAACACCGGUGGCGAAGGCGGCAUCCUGGACCGGCAUUGACGCUGAGGCGCGAAAGCUAGGGUAGCAAACAGG
rnacentral:rRNA from 1 species